rnacentral:rRNA from 1 species
AGAGUUUGAUCCUGGCUCAGGACGAACGCUGGCGGCGUGCCUAAUACAUGCAAGUAGAACGCUGAAGAGAGGAGCUUGCUCUUCUUGGAUGAGUUGCGAACGGGUGAGUAACGCGUAGGUAACCUGCCUUGUAGCGGGGGAUAACUAUUGGAAACGAUAGCUAAUACCGCAUAACAAUGGAUGACACAUGUCAUUUAUUUGAAAGGGGCAAUUGUUCCACUACAAGAUGGACCUGCGUUGUAUUAGCUAGUAGGUGAGGUAAUGGCUCACCUAGGCGACGAUACAUAGCCGACCUGAGAGGGUGAUCGGCCACACUGGGACUGAGACACGGCCCAGACUCCUACGGGAGGCAGCAGUAGGGAAUCUUCGGCAAUGGGGGCAACCCUGACCGAGCAACGCCGCGUGAGUGAAGAAGGUUUUCGGAUCGUAAAACUCUGUUGUAAGUCAAGAACGGGUGUGAGAGUGGAAAGUUCACACUGUGACGGUAGCUUACCAGAAAGGGACGGCUAACUACGUGCCAGCAGCCGCGGUAAUACGUAGGUCCCGAGCGUUGUCCGGAUUUAUUGGGCGUAAAGCGAGCGCAGGCGGUUUGAUAAGUCUGAAGUUAAAGGCUGUGGCUCAACCAUAGUUCGCUUUGGAAACUGUCAAACUUGAGUGCAGAAGGGGAGAGUGGAAUUCCAUGUGUAGCGGUGAAAUGCGUAGAUAUAUGGAGGAACACCGGUGGCGAAAGCGGCUCUCUGGUCUGUAACUGACGCUGAGGCUCGAAAGCGUGGGGAGCGAACAGGAUUAGAUACCCUGGUAGUCCACGCCGUAAACGAUGAGUGCUAGGUGUUGGAUCCUUUCCGGGAUUCAGUGCCGCAGCUAACGCAUUAAGCACUCCGCCUGGGGAGUACGACCGCAAGGUUGAAACUCAAAGGAAUUGACGGGGGCCCGCACAAGCGGUGGAGCAUGUGGUUUAAUUCGAAGCAACGCGAAGAACCUUACCAGGUCUUGACAUCCCGAUGCUAUUUCUAGAGAUAGAAAGUUACUUCGGUACAUCGGUGACAGGUGGUGCAUGGUUGUCGUCAGCUCGUGUCGUGAGAUGUUGGGUUAAGUCCCGCAACGAGCGCAACCCCUAUUGUUAGUUGCCAUCAUUCAGUUGGGCACUCUAGCGAGACUGCCGGUAAUAAACCGGAGGAAGGUGGGGAUGACGUCAAAUCAUCAUGCCCCUUAUGACCUGGGCUACACACGUGCUACAAUGGUUGGUACAACGAGUUGCGAGUCGGUGACGGCGAGCUAAUCUCUUAAAGCCAAUCUCAGUUCGGAUUGUAGGCUGCAACUCGCCUACAUGAAGUCGGAAUCGCUAGUAAUCGCGGAUCAGCACGCCGCGGUGAAUACGUUCCCGGGCCUUGUACACACCGCCCGUCACACCACGAGAGUUUGUAACACCCGAAGUCGGUGAGGUAACCUUUUGGAGCCAGCCGCCUAAGGUGGGACAGAUGAUUGGGGUGAAGUCGUAACAAGGUA